rnacentral:snoRNA from 1 species
UUCAGAUUUUGGUUGAAAUAUGAUGAGUGUACAAAAUCUUGAUUUAAGUGAAUGAAAAAUUACAAGAUCCAACUCUGAUUUCAGCCAGAGAUC